rnacentral:ncRNA from 1 species
AUAAAAACGAAGAAAAAGAAGAGUACAUUUGAACUAUUUGUAGAGAAAAGAAGUCGUGGGCUGAAAGCUUCUUAAAUAAAGGCAAAUGGAAGGUAGCUUUUGAGUUGAUAAUCUGAAAUAGUAGUAAGAUUAUUCGUAAUACUGCGUUAAAGUAAAUUGAGAAAUUAUCAAAAAGAUAAUAAUUAAGGUGGUACCGUGAGAUAUAGAACUCGCCCUUAUG